rnacentral:lncRNA from 1 species
GGUGCCAGUGACCCAGGGCAUCUAAGCUGAUACACUGUGUUCUCUCUGAGCCCCAGGGGACAAGGACUAGGAUCAAAAAUGUAACAGCCUCCUGUGGGCUAGAGGCUGCCUGCCCAUGAGUUGCCAUCUGCUACACAGGGUUGUCACCUCUAUUUUGGUCACAAGAGACCUGCUGUGUGGGAGGUUGGACCCCAAGGCCCCUGCUCUCCUGCUUGCCAGCUGCUUUUCCAAGGAAAGACCCCAGCAGGACUGAAGAUGGAUCCUGUUGGGAAGGUAGUCACCAGGCACUGGAGCAGGGCUCUGCCCCUGACCCAACUCCCCCCACCAGGCCUGAGCCCCACCAGGGCUGCACCAAGGAAUCGAGGUUCCAACCCAUGAGCCUUGAGGAUCACACUAGCCAUAGCACCGUGCUGCCCUAUGCUGUCCUCUUGACAUGAAAACCAUUGUUUCAAUGGAAGAAUUGAGGGCACAGAAAUUAUCCUCCUGCUGGCGCACUUUCCAGAUCAAGGUGUAUAGGGAGCCAGACCUGAGCAGGACUGAGCACUGGAUUCCAGUUCUGGGUCACAGAACCUCGCUCUGCACCAUAAGGAAUUCAGGCGUUGGUGCAAACCCACAAGAAUGGCCAAGGAAGCACUUUACUCACACACACUCGAAGAUUAGAAGAAGAUUAGAAGAAAACCCCGUGAGUGGAUUAACUGUGUACGCAAGUUCUGGAAAUGAGACCAAAUGUGUGGUGGACAUGGACCAAGCCCUGCCAGCCUGAGGAGCCGCACAGGCCACUUCCUGGUCCCUUGUUGAAGGGCGGAGCCCAAACGUUCCCGCCAAGUUUAGGGUCCUGUCCUGGGACUAAUUUUGCAAGCAUUAACCAGCACUUCAUAAGAAUGGAGCUGGAGGGAGAGCAGGAGGGGAGGUGGGGGAGGUAGAGCACGCAGUGGGCUGCAGCACAGGGAAUGGGCAGGAUCUGCUUGUGUGGAGCCAGUGGGCUGGUAGCACGGAGCAUAUCACUCCUGCACCCUAGGGUUGCAGGCACCGGGGACCCAUGUCCAGCUCUCGCAGGCCCCUGGGGCAGCUCUGAGGACACAAAGCAGCCACAGAGAGAAACGCAAUCUGUGCUGUGAGCUCAGGCCCCCUGGGAAACUCAGACAUGUAGAAGAGACAGCCCACCACCAGGGGCCACCUCUUGACACCCGAAUUUGAGUUCAUUUGCAUCUCUGGCCCCAGGGUGGCCCCUGACAGGCUGGGUGCUUCUGUUGGGGUGGGGCAGGAGGGUCUGGAUGGAUGCCUGGAACGGGAUGGGGCGAGGUGCCCUGACCGCCUGUUCUGCAUGGCGAGCUGGCAAGGAGAAGAGGGUGUGGAGCAAAUGCAGAGCAGGGGCUCAGCCAGGGAGGGUGUGGGCCGUGGGCUCUAAAAAAGGUUUUCUAAAAGCACACAUCAGGGGUCAAGGGGGAGCUUGUCAGGGCAGGGUGGGGCAUCUCCUGACAGCCUGUGCCAAGCCCCGGUCCAGAUGACCUUGAGGUUCGGGGAGGGAAGAGAAGGAUGGGAGGAGAGGGGCUGUGGAUGGUUCCAGGGGUCAGAUAACAAGCAGUCUUGGAGGUCAUGGAGAAGAGACUGGCAGUGUACCCUAAAUCCAGUAGGAAAGACACCUCAGGAACCUUUAACCAGAGGGAUGACACGGUGUAAUCUACGUUUGUAAAAGAUCCCUGAGGGUAAAGAAAGGGUCAUAGACCGUAUUAGGAAAGACAGGACCACUAGAAGCGAUCAGACCAGUCCUGGGAUGAAGGAGAGGGCUGCGGGUAUGGAGGUGGGCUGUGGGCUGGAUUCUGGGCACUGAGUCAGCACUGUCACCUAUCUACCAGGUGGUGUUUCUGGCUCCUUCAGAGCCCCAACCCCCUGCCCCCAUGCCCAUCAUCCUUCCCAUUGAUCAAAUGCGAGGAUUUCACAUUCAUUGUGUCGUUUAAGCCUCAUGGUUUUGCAGCCGGUUCAGGAUGCUGUAAUGAACCACUGAAGACUGUGUUCCUCAGCAACAGUUAUUUUUCACAGUUCUGAGGUGGGGUAUCCCGUGGUCAAGAAGUGGGUUCCGUCUCAGGGGAGGGUCACUUCCUGGUUUUCAGAGGGCCGUCUUCUUGCUAUGUCCUCUGUGCUAGUCAGCUCUUCACAGCUGUGACCAAAUCUUUGAGAGAAACAGCUUAAAGGAAGAAAGGUUUGUUUUGGCUCCCAGCUCAGAGGUUUCAGUCCAGGACCAGCCAGCUCCAUUGCUUUCAGGCCUGUGGUGAGGCAGAAACAUCAUGGCGGAAGGAAAUGUUGGAAAGCCGAGAAGAAGACAGAGAAGGAGCCAGAGACAGAGAGAAGAAGGGGCCUGGACAAGAUACACCCUUCAAAGUGUGUCAUUAUUCACAAAAGAGAACCCAGAGAGCUCCCUGCAAAGGUGUGCUUCCUCCCCAGGGACCUCUUCCCUCCCGCAGUGGGCCACCCCUUCAUAGCCCAUUCAUCUGCCAGCUCAUAACGCUGCUAGUGCCUUCACGAUCCAGGCACCUCUGGAAGUUGCUGCCCUGGAACAGAAUGGCAGGGAGCUCUCUGGGGUCUCUUUUGUAGUUAAUGGACCUAAUUCCACUCAUAAGGGUUCUAUCUUUUUGACCUAAUCACCCCCUCCAAAAGCCCACAUCCCAAUACUAUCACAUUUGGGGGUGUUGUGGUUGAGUUCCAGAAUGUCCCCCAAAACUCAUGCACUCACAGGUGGGGCUUUUCACAGGUAACUGGAUCAUGGGGUGGGGGGCUAAUGCUUGUCAGUGGGUUAACCCACGGAUGCACUUACAGCUGAAUAUGCUGUUGGGAGGUGGGGCCUGGUGGGAAGAGGUGGGGCCCUGGGGUGCACCCUGGAAGUUUGUGUUCCCUUCCUCCCUUUUCUCUCUGCUUCCAGCUGACAUGAGGUGAGCAACCAUUUCUCUGGUGAAGCCUGCUGACCAUGCAUGGACUGAGACCUCUAAGCCUGAGCCAACAUAAACCUCUCCUUUAAAUUGUGGGUAUUGUGUCUCAGUGAUGAGGAAAGUGACUAAAUGGGGCUUAUGGUUUAAACAUAUGGAUUUAGAAAAUCCAAACAUUCAUUCCGUAUCAGUCCACUCUUGCUCCCAUUUAAGUCCUUUUUGCAUGGAAAGUGCAUAUUCAUUUCACCCUAUGCCUCUCCACAGUCAUAACUCAUUCCGGCAUCAGCUCUAAGCACUGAAGAUCAUCUAAAUCAGAUAUGAAUGACACAUAAGGCAGGAUUUGUCUGAAGACAGAACUCCUCUCUCUCCAUUUGUGAAACUAUGGAACCAAACAAGUUAUGUGCUUUCCAAAUCCGGUGGUGGGACAGACAGACAGAAGGGAAGAUAGGAAGGAGAAAAGAGGGUCCAGUGCUAUCAGGCAAGUCUCACAAGACCUUAGGGCUGGAGAAUGACCCUCACUUUACCUCCAGACCCCAGGGCCUUUGGUCCUGGCCCCAGAGCUCUGCCAAGCAGGAGAACAGCCCAUGGCUUGGGGCAAAGUUUGCCUGCCUAUUGAAAGUGAGUCGUUGGCCUCCCGCAAGGAGGCUGCCCUGAUGACCUCUGAGUCUCCUUCAAGGUCAGUUUCUGCUUGUCUGGAAGGAGAGUGCUUUGAGAGCUCUGAGGUCUUGUCCUGUGAAACCUACAGGUCAGAGAGCUGCUUCCUGGCCCCCACAUCCCAGUGCCCAGAAGGUGGGAGUAGCCCAUCAGGUCUGAGGUUCACAUUCGUGGUAAUCUCUUUACUAAGAGUCACUUGGGUACACUCUUAAUGUUCUCUUCUGAUUAUACAU